UACGUAGGGGGCAAGCGUUGUCCGGAUUUAUUGGGCGUAAAGAGCGUGUAGGCGGCCGUACAGGUCAGCUGUGAAAACUCGAGGCUCAACCUCGAGACGUCGGUUGAAACCGUACGGCUAGAGUCCGGAAGAGGAGAGUGGAAUUCCCGGUGUAGCGGUGAAAUGCGCAGAUAUCGGGAAGAACACCCGUGGCGAAGGCGGCGCUCUGGGACGGUACUGACGCUGAGACGCGAAAGCGUGGGGAGCGAACAGG
rnacentral:rRNA from 1 species